rnacentral:rRNA from 1 species
AUUGAACGCUGGCGGCAGGCUUAACACAUGCAAGUCGAGCGGGGAAAGGUAGCUUGCUACCUGACCUAGCGGCGGACGGGUGAGUAAUGCUUAGGAAUCUGCCUAUUAGUGGGGGACAACAUUCCGAAAGGAAUGCUAAUACCGCAUACGCCCUACGGGGGAAAGCAGGGGAUCUUCGGACCUUGCGCUAAUAGAUGAGCCUAAGUCAGAUUAGCUAGUUGGUGGGGUAAAGGCCUACCAAGGCGACGAUCUGUAGCGGGUCUGAGAGGAUGAUCCGCCACACUGGGACUGAGACACGGCCCAGACUCCUACGGGAGGCAGCAGUGGGGAAUAUUGGACAAUGGGCGAAAGCCUGAUCCAGCCAUGCCGCGUGUGUGAAGAAGGUCUUUUGGUUGUAAAGCACUUUAAGCGAGGAGGAGGCUACUUAGAUUAAUACUCUAGGAUAGUGGACGU